GUGGAUUAGAUACCCUGGUAGUCCACGCCGUAAACGAUGCUAACUCGUUUUUGGGCUUUCGGGCUCAGAGACCAAGCGAAAGUGAUAAGUUAGCCACCUGGGGAGUACGUUCGCAAGAAUGAAACUCAAAGGAAUUGACGGGGGCCCGCACAAGCGGUGGAUUAUGUGGUUUAAUUCGAUGAUACGCGAGGAACCUUACCAAGACUUAAAUGGGAAUUGACAGAUUUAGAAAUAGAUCCUCCUUCGGGCAAUUUUCAAGGUGCUGCACGGUUGUCGCCAGCU
rnacentral:rRNA from 1 species